rnacentral:tRNA from 1 species
ACGCCCGUAGCUCGACUGGAUAGAGCAUCUGACUACGGAUCAGAAGGUUUGAGGUUCGAAUCCUCAUGGGCGCGCCU